GCGCGGAUGGGGUAGUGGUAACCUGGGUCGUUGCCAAGGGUUUUCUACACCGCCAGAUAUCUGCACAAUCGACCCGCCGGGGGUUCAAUUCCCCCUCCGCGCA